GGCAGGUUCUGUAGAGACCUGCUCCGCUGUCUCUCUGGCACCCCCACCCCCAUCCCAGCUCCCAGAAGGUACCUGCCCCCCAACACAGCACACAAAAGCAGACACGUGUGCACAUUCAUGUCCCAUAGCACCCCAUUCCCUAGCCUUCCCCAGACCCAUUCCUAGUCCGUCUUGAAGAGAACACUGGGGGUGGAAAGGCUGCAGGAGAAAAGAAAACAGGGGAAUUACUCAAGUGCAAGAUUAAAGGCAAUAAUGAGCAAUCAGACCGAACUGGAAUGACAGUAGGGGAAGGUGAAGAGACUUUGGGAAAAGGAAGAGCACUGAAGUCAGACCUGGCACAGCCUUUUACGAGCUAUGUAAUCUCAGCCUUCUCGUAUGACCUUAAGUUUGGA
rnacentral:lncRNA from 1 species